GUAGGUGGCAAGCGUUGUCCGGAAUUAUUGGGCGUAAAGCGCGCGCAGGCGGUUCCUUAAGUCUGAUGUGAAAGCCCCCGGCUCAACCGGGGAGGGUCAUUGGAAACUGGGGAACUUGAGUGCAGAAGAGGAGAGCGGAAUUCCACGUGUAGCGGUGAAAUGCGUAGAGAUGUGGAGGAACACCAGUGGCGAAGGCGGCUCUCUGGUCUGUAACUGACGCUGAGGCGCGAAAGCGUGGGGAGCGAACAGGAUUAGAUACCCUGGUAGUCCACGCCGUAAACGAUGAGUGCUAAGUGUUAGAGGGUUUCCGCCCUUUAGUGCUGCAGCAAACGCAUUAAGCACUCCGCCUGGGAGUACGGCCGCAAGGCUG
rnacentral:rRNA from 1 species